rnacentral:rRNA from 1 species
UGCUUAGGAAUCUGCCAAAUAGUGGGGGAUAGCCCAGAGAAAUUUGGAUUAAUACCGCAUACGCCCUACGGGGGAAAGGACAGGGAGUCUUCGGACCUUGCGCUAUUUGAUGAGCCUGAGUGAGAUUAGCUAGUUGGUGGGGUAAAGGCCUACCAAGGCGACGAUCUCUAGCUGGUCUGAGAGGAUGAUCAGCCACACUGGGACUGAGACACGGCCCAGACUCCUACGGGAGGCUGCAGCAGGGAAUAUUGCGCAAUGAGCGAAAGCUUGACGCAGCGACACCGCGUGUGGGAUGACGGU